rnacentral:tRNA from 1 species
GGCCGGGUGGUGUAGUUGGUUAUCACGUUUCGUUAACACCGAAAAGGUCCUGGGUUCAAGUCCCAGCUCAGUCA